rnacentral:lncRNA from 1 species
AGCUGAAAGUUCUGCUGAAUUGAUAAAGGUUACUAUCAGUUAGAUGCAUGUAUAACCGCGUUUGAAUGUUAGGUGCCGUAUUAAUAUGGUUCUACAUAUAAUUCUUUAAUGAAAAAGAUGAGUUAGUUCUAAAUGUUGUUUUCUACUGCAGUAGCAGUACAGUACUUGAUUUCUCUUUGGGGUUGCAAGGUGCCAACUGACAACUAAGGUGACUACUAUUAUUCUGCAUUUGACAAUCUCAAAUUCAUACUUAUUGUACUAUUGGCAUUUUCUGAAAGCUGGUAUGUGUUAUGUUGCACUUGAUAUUCUUAUGGAUGGUGCUUGUUAAAGAUCGCAAACUUUUCUAAAUAUUGGUUUUGUGGGUAGUCAAUAUAAUAGGACAAUUAUAAUUUAUAACCCAUUCAAUCUAUUAUAAACUGGAUUUUCAAAUUGAAGUUGAAUUGAUUUUUUACUUUUACUGCUAAAAGUAUUUCUGCAAACCAACAACAAAAAUGGUUAAAUUACUUACCAGCUAUUAUCGGCUGUUAACUUCUAUAUCUGAACACUUUACACAUCUCCCUCGCACACACCAUGUUGAACACGUAAUUUAUAACAAGGAACACACUUUUAGUUUGCAGAAUUAAAAACCAUGAGACCAAGUCCACACAAAAACCUUAUUUAUACGAAGAUAAAAGCGAGUAAUGUAAAAAGUUUUUUCAGAUAAAUAAACCUCAAUAGUGUUUAACUACAAUCAACAUAACAACAAAUCUAAUUGUGCAUAUGAAUGUUCACAAUACCAAGAAUAACAUAAAUUAUCCAUAUUAAAGUGCAACUGCACAACUAACCAUCUAAUUGUCGCAGCUUUUCUCCUUUGUAUAUUUUCCUUCAAUGUUUUGAUGACGUGCGAGAAGCACUCUAAGGCCUCAUUAGUCUGAUAUUUCUAGGUGAAAAGGAAGAUAAAGAGAAAAAAUUGCAUUUAUUUGUUACCAUUGAAUCAGUUUUUUGCCUUCAGAGAGUUAUUCUCCUUGAUCCUAGCUCGAUUAUCCAGCUUAACAUAGCGUUUUAGAUCUCCAAAAACAAGCGUUUCGAUAUUCUUCCUACGUAAUUCACUCAACGCAGGGCGUUUAUCAAUCAACUGAGACAACCAGUCAGGGUAUUCUGCAUUAGGCAGGAUUUUUUGAUCUGUUCCAUCCUUGAGAAUGUUGGCACCUACAACUGUACUUGCCUUGACUUCUUUGCUAAGAGUGGAUCCUUUGGGCGAAUCAGAAAGUCCGCCUCCUUUAGAUCCUUUCUUUGCUUUAGCAGUCGCAAAAGUUCGCUGGCAUGCAACAACAACUGCCUCUUUGGUGGUUAGAAUGUAUCUAACAGUCCUAGCACGGUUCAUUAACAUGACUUCUGCAUAGAAAAACUCAGUAUUAAGUCUUGUUUGAAUAAACAACUUAAUUAAGUGUUUAUAACAUAAGUAUUUUGAUAGUUAUGGCAGGGUGUAUAGGAGAAAACGUGGGAAUAAGGCUGCAGAGAAUAAUUCACUCAUAACUAACUUGGGUGGAAAGGGCAUGACUAGUGACAUGUGGCUUAGAAGAGAGAAUGUGGAUCUGAGGAUUAAAGGCAGAAGGAAUGUUCAGUAUCUGUCAGGCAUUGAUUUCAGUAGUCAUCACUACAAGGAGAAAGGAGAGAUUUAGCCUCUCGAAGUGCUUAGCUAUUUUCGGUCAUUUUCUUUCCCAUUUUUACCUAUUGUACUUAUCAGUUUGAUCGCAUUUGAACUCUAGCAUGAUUUUACAGUAAUAAAACCAUGGUA